GGGGAAUUUAAUUUUUUGGUGGUUUUUGUGCAUGGCUCUGAUGGUGCACUCGUGUUCACCAGGUCCCCAAAGAGAAGGAACAGCCCCACACGGAGCUGCCGGCGCUCCCCAGCACCAGGAGAUGCUGCUGGCUGCCAGCUCUGCUGCUUGGGGGCAAUUAAUCUUUAAUUGUGCCUUUGGACUGGGAAAGGGAACAGGAAUUUCCUCUGCUGGAGCUUCUCCUCUGCGGUGACACGGCCUCAAAGCUCCGUGGCGGCUCCCAGGGCUUCCUGUGGCAGAAUCCAGCAGGAAAAUCCCUUUGUUCCCCUCCUGCUUCCUCUCCCGUCGCUCCAGGGCAUCCUGAGCAGCAGAUCUGGAGGAUAGAGCUGGAGCCUGGCUGGGCUGCAGAGGUGCCAGCACCAUCUGUGCCUCAGUUUCCCUUCCCAGGAUCCUUGAGCAGCACCCAGGGCUCUUCUCUUUCAGGGAAGGAGGAAUUGCAUUCAGCUUCCAAGGAACAAAAAAUCCCCAAAACUCUUCUUCCUGCCCUCUCCAAGGCAGGGAAUUCCAGCACAUCCUCUGCCCCAACACCCUGUCCUGAUUUUCCUCCAGGAGCUGUGCUGCACGGGGGUGUUGGGCUGAGAUGCAGCAGUGUCCAGGCACUCCAGGGUGACCAGGGGAGCAUUUCCAGCAGAGAUUGGGACAUUGGCUGGGUCAGCGUGUCCCCUUCUGCUGCAGGAACAGCUGGGGCAAGGAGGAGAACGGGGAGCGUUGUUCUGAUCCCGCCCCGGGGCUUCCCCAGCCUGCCCUGCGCUUUUCACUCCAUCCUCAACCCCAAUCCCCUCGGCACAGGCAGCUCGGCUCUGGGGCUCAUGCUCAGGAAUCCAGAGCGAGUCAAACCCUCUGGAAUUUGGCACUUGCAACUCCCGAGGCGUUUUGGCAGAAUCUCAAACCCAGCGCCCUCCGCCGUGGGGGGCACUUGCAGAUGAGGAAGCAAACCACAGGUGGAGAUUGUGGAGUGAAGGAUUCAGGAACACAAAGCUGAGAGCAGCCCCGAAGUCCUGGGGCAAAGAAGGGCUUUGUGCCCUUCCCCCUGUCGGCUCCUGCCGCUCUCACUAAUUCCUCCGCGGCUGCCAAACCCAAACCACAGCAGCGCUGUCCCCUCCUACACAGCCCAGCAGCGGUUUCGGG
rnacentral:lncRNA from 1 species